rnacentral:rRNA from 1 species
AUUAGACGAAUCAUCUGGAAAGAUGAAUCAAAGAAGGUAAUAAUCCUGUAGUCGAAAAUGUUGUCUCUCUUGAGUGGAUCCUGAGUACGACGGAGCACGUGAAAUUCCGUCGGAAUCUGGGAGGACCAUCUCCUAAGGCUAAAUACUCUCUAGUGACCGAUAGUGAACCAGUACCGUGAGGGAAAGGUGAAAAGCACCCCGGAAGGGGAGUGAAAUAGAACCUGAAACCGUGUGCUUACAAGUAGUCAGAGCCCGUUAAUGGGUGAUGGCGUGCCUUUUGUAGAAUGAACCGGCGAGUUACGAUUUGAUGCAAGGUUAAGCAGUAAAUGUGGAGCCGUAGCGAAAGCGAGUCUGAAUAGGGCGUUUAGUAUUUGGUCGUAGACCCGAAACCAGGUGAUCUACCCUUGGUCAGGUUGAAGUUCAGGUAACACUGAAUGGAGGACCGAACCGACUUACGUUGAAAAGUGAGCGGAUGAACUGAGGGUAGCGGAGAAAUUCCAAUCGAACCUGGAGAUAGCUGGUUCUCUCCGAAAUAGCUUUAGGGCUAGCCUCAAGUGAUGAUUAUUGGAGGUAGAGCACUGUUUGGACGAGGGGCCCCUCUCGGGUUACCGAAUUCAGACAAACUCCGAAUGCCAAUUAAUUUAACUUGGGAGUCAGAACAUGGGUGAUAAGGUCCGUGUUCGAAAGGGAAACAGCCCAGACCACCAGCUAAGGUCCCAAAAUAUAUGUUAAGUGGAAAAGGAUGUGGCGUUGCCCAGACAACUAGGAUGUUGGCUUAGAAGCAGCCAUCAUUUAAAGAGUGCGUAAUAGCUCACUAGUCGAGUGACACUGCGCCGAAAAUGUACCGGGGCUAAACAUAUUACCGAAGCUGUGGAUUGUCCUUUGGACAAUGGUAGGAGAGCGUUCUAAGGGCGUUGAAGCAUGAUCGUAAGGACAUGUGGAGCGCUUAGAAGUGAGAAUGCCGGUGUGAGUAGCGAAAGACGGGUGAGAAUCCCGUCCACCGAUUGACUAAGGUUUCCAGAGGAAGGCUCGUCCGCUCUGGGUU